GCUCGGAGAUGUGUAUAAGAGACAGAGACACGGCCCAGACUCCUACGGGAGACAGCAGUUAGGAAUAUUCGUCAAUGGGGGGAACCCUGAACGAGCAAUGCCGCGUGAACGAAGAAGGUCCUCUGGAUUGUAAAGUUCUGUUGUUAGGGACGAACGACCAGUAUAGGAAAUGAUACUGGAGUGACGGUACCUUUCAAGAAAGCUCCGGCUAACUACGUGCCAGCAGCCGCGGUAAUACGUAGGGAGCGAGCGUUAUCCGGAUUUAUUGGGUGUAAAGGGUGCGUAGGCGGAUUAAUAAGUUGGUGGUCUAAGCCCGAAGCUUAACUUCGGUUCGCCACCAAAACUGUUAACCUUGAGUAUGGUAGAGGCAAGUGGAAUUUCUAGUGUAGCGGUUAAAUGCGUAGAUAUUAGAAGGAACAUCAGUGGCGAAGGCGACUUGCUGGGCCAACACUGACGCUGAGGCACGAAAGCGUGGGGAGCAAAUAGGAUUAGAUACCCUAGUAGUCCACGCCGUAAACGAUGGAUACUAAGUGUCGGGCAACCGGUGCUGAAGUAAACACAUUAAGUAUCCCACCUGAGUAGUACGGUCGCAAGGCUGAAACUCAAAGGAAUUGACGGGCACCCGCACAAGCGGUGGAGCAUGCUGUUUAAUUCGAAGAUACGCGAAGAACCUUACCUGGGCUUGACAUCCCUUUGACCGGACCUAGAAAUAGGACCUUUCUUCUUCGGAAGACAAAGGAGACAGGUGGUGCAUGGUUGUCGUCAGCUCGUGUCGUGAGAUGUUCGGUUAAGUCCGAUAACGAGCGCAACCCUUGUCCUUAAUUGCUAACAGUAAGAUGAGAACCUUAAGGAGACUGCCGGUGAUAAACCGGAGGAAGGUGGGGAUGACGUCAAAUCAUCAUGCCCCUUACGUCCAGGGCUACAGGCGUGCUAUAAUGGCCGGUAUAAAAAGAAGCAAAACUGUGAAGUAGAGCAAAUCUCGAAAGCCGGUCUCAGUACGGAUUGGAGUCUGCAACUCGACUCCAUGAAGCCAGAAUCGCUAGUAAUCCCGAAUCAGAAUGUCGGGGUGAAUACGUUCCCGGGUGUUGUACACACCGCCCGUCACGCCAUGGGAGUCAAUAAUACCCGAAGCUGGUAGCCUAACCGAGCAAUCGGAGGGGGCCAUCGAAGGUAGGAUUGGUGACUGGGGUGAAGUCGUAACAAGGCAUCCCUACGAGAACGUGGGGAUG
rnacentral:rRNA from 1 species